AAGUCGUAACAAGGUUUCCGUAGGUGAACCUGCGGAAGGAUCAUUACCUAGAGUUUGUGGGCUUUGCCUGCUAUCUCUUACCCAUGUCUUUUGAGUACUUACGUUUCCUCGGUGGGUUCGCCCGCCGAUUGGACAAUUUAAACCCUUUGCAGUUGCAAUCAGCGUCUGAAAAACAUAAUAGUUACAACUUUCAACAACGGAUCUCUUGGUUCUG
rnacentral:misc_RNA from 1 species